rnacentral:rRNA from 1 species
ACUGCUCAGUAACACGUGGAUAACCUGCCCUAAGGAAGGGGAUAACCUCGGGAAACUGAGGAUAAUACCCUAUAGGUUACAGACGCUGGAAUGCCCUGUAACCGAAAGUUCCGGCGCCUUAGGAUGGAUCUGCGGCCGAUUAGGUUGUUGUUGGGGUAACGGCCCAACAAGCCGAUAAUCGGUACGGGUUGUGGGAGCAAGAGCCCGGAGUUGGAUUCUGAGACAUGAAUCCAGGCCCUACGGGGCGCAGCAGGCGCGAAAACUUUACAAUGCGGGAAACCGUGAUAAGGGAACCCCGAGUGCCUGUAUAUGCAGGCUGUCCAGGUGUCUAAAAAACACCUGAAGAAAGGGCCGGGCAAGACCGGUGCCAGCCGCCGCGGUAAUACCGGCGGCUCGAGUGGUGGCCACUUUUAUUGGGCCUAAAGCGUUCGUAGCUGGGUUGUUAAGUCUCUUGGGAAAUCUGACGGCUCGACCGUCAGGCGUCCAAGGGAUACUGGCAAUCUUGGAACCGGGAGAGGCGAGGGGUACUUCGGGGGUAGGAGUGAAAUCCUGUAAUCCUCGAGGGACCACCUGUGGCGAAGGCGCCUCACCAGAACGGCUUCGACAGUGAGGGACGAAAGCUGGGGGAGCAAACCGGAUUAGAUACCCGGGUAGUCCCAGCCGUAAACGAUGCGCGUUAGGUGUAUCGGUGACCACGAGUCACCGAGGUGCCGAAGGGAAACCGUGAAACGUGCCGCCUGGGAAGUACGGUCGCAAGGCUGAAACUUAAAGGAAUUGGCGGGGGAGCAC